UACGUAGGGGGCGAGCGUUGUCCGGAUUCAUUGGGCGUAAAGAGCUCGUAGGCGGCUUGGCAAGUCGGAUGUGAAAACUCCAGGCUCAACCUGGAGCCGCCAUUCGAUACUGCUAUGGCUAGAGUCCGGUAGGGGAGUGUGGAAUUCCCGGUGUAGCGGUGAAAUGCGCAGAUAUCAGGAGGAACACCAAUAGCGAAGGCAGCUCGCUGGGACGGUACUGACGCUAAGGCGCGAAAGCGUGGGGAGCGAACAGG
rnacentral:rRNA from 1 species